ACGCGUGGAACCUUACCAGGUCUUGACAUCCUCUGACACUCCUAGAGAUAGGACGUUCCCCUUCGGGGGACAGAGUGACAGGUGGUGCAUGGUUGUCGUCAGCUCGUGUCGUGAGAUGUUGGGUUAAGUCCCGCAACGAGCGCAACCCUUGAUCUUAGUUGCCAGCAUUUAGUUGGGCACUCUAAGGUGACUGCCGGUGACAAACCGGAGGAAGGUGGGGAUGACGUCAAAUCAUCAUGCCCCUUAUGACCUGGGCUACACACGUGCUACAAUGGAUGGUACAAAGGGCAGCAAAACCGCGAGGUCGAGCAAAUCCCAUAAAACCAUUCUCAGUUCGGAUUGUAGGCUGCAACUCGCCUACAUGAAGCUGGAAUCGCUAGUAAUCGCGGAUCAGCAUGCCGCGGUGAAUACGUUCCCGGGCCUUGUACUCACCGCCCGU
rnacentral:rRNA from 1 species